rnacentral:rRNA from 1 species
GAGUGAAACUCAAAGGAAUUGACGGGGACCCGCACAAGUAGCGGAGCAUGUGGUUUAAUUCGAAGCAACGCGAAGAACCUUACCUAAGCUUGACAUCCCAAUGACAUCUCCUUAAUCGGAGAGUUCCCUUCGGGGACAUUGGUGACAGGUGGUGCAUGGUUGUCGUCAGCUCGUGUCGUGAGAUGUUGGGUUAAGUCCCGCAACGAGCGCAACCCUUGUCUUUAGUUGCCAUCAUUAAGUUGGGCACUCUAGAGAGACUGCCAGGGAUAACCUGGAGGAAGGUGGGGAUGACGUCAAAUCAUCAUGCCCCUUAUGCUUAGGGCUACACACGUGCUACAAUGGGUACAGAGGGUUGCCAAGCCGUAAGGUGGAGCUAAUCCCUUAAAGCUACUCUCAGUUCGGAUUGUAGGCUGAAACUCGCCUACAUGAAGCUGGAGUUACUAGUAAUCGCAGAUCAGAAUGCUGCGGUGAAUGCGUUCCCGGGUCUUGUACACACCGCCCGUCACACCACGGGAGUUGGAGACGCCCGAAGCCGAUUAUCUAACCUUUUGGAAGAAGUCGUCGAAGGUGGAAUCAAUAACUGGGGUGAAGUCGUAACAAGGUAGCCGUAUCGGAAGGUGCGGCUGGAUCACCUCCUUUCUAAGGA